rnacentral:rRNA from 1 species
AUGAUCUCAGUUUUAUUCAGUGUGGUUGGAGCUUCUUGCAAAAGAAAGGAUGUGAUUAGAGAGAAACAUCAAGCGGAGGUAAUAAAAGCCAUAGGUAGUGGGCAGAUUAGCACUGGCACAGGGCUAAAUCAAGAACAAACUCUUCAAAGAGCCGGGGACACACGUUGGGGCUCACAUUACAGGACUCUUUCAGUUAUGUCUGUUCUGAAAUAUGUUGAGAAAGAAGGCAAAAGUGAUAAGAAAUGCCAGGCACGUGGUCUUGUAGCAUAUUUUGAGACCUUUGAUUUUGUUUUUUAUUUGCACAUGAUGUUGCAUAUAUUGGGAAAUGCAAAUACUUUGUCACAGUCUUUACAAAGGAAGGAUCAAGACAUCAUGAAUGCCAUCUCAUGUGUGAAGUCAACAAGGAAUGAGCUGCAAGAACUAAGGGAU